rnacentral:rRNA from 1 species
AUUGAACGCUGGCGGCAGGCCUAACACAUGCAAGUCGAGCGGAGCGGCGGACGGGUGAGUAAUGCCUAGGAAUCUGCCUGGUAGUGGGGGAUAACGUCCGGAAACGGGCGCUAAUACCGCAUACUAUCAGAUGAGCCUAGGUGGGCUUAGCUAGUUGGUGGGGUAAAGGCAUACCAAGGCGACGAUCCGUAACUGGUCUGAGAGGAUGAUCAGUCACACUGGAACUGAGACGCGGUCCAGCAUCCUACGGGAUGCAGCAGUAGGGAAUAUUGGACAAUGGGCGAAAGCCAGAUCCAGCCAUGCCGCGUGUGUGAAGAAGGUCUUCGGAUGGUAAAACACUUUAAGUUGGGAGGCGUGACCAACAGAAUAAGCAACGGCUGACUUCGUGCCAGCAGCCGCGGUAAUUC